UUAGGUUCCAGACCUGAAAGCUUUACAUUAGGUUCCAGACCUGAAAGCUUUACAUUAGGUUCAAGUCCUGAAAGCUUUACAUUAGGUUCAAGACCUGAAAGCUUUACAUUAGGUUCAAGACCUGAAAGCUUUACAUUAGGUUCAAGUCCUGAAAGCUUUACAUUAGGUUCCAGUCCUGAAAGCUUUACAUUAGGUUCAAGACCUGAAAGCUUUACAUUAGGUUCCAGUCCUGAAAGCUUUACAUUAGGUUCCAGACCUGAAAGCUUUACAUUAGGUUCCAGACCUGAAAGCUUUACAUUAGGUUCCAGACCUGAAAGCUUUACAUUAGGUUCCAGACCUGAAAGCUUUACAUUAGGUUCCAGACCUGAAAGCUUUACAUUAGGUUCCAGUCCUGAAAGCUUUACAUUAGGUUCCAGUCCUGAAAGCUUUACAUUAGGUUCCAGUCCUGAAAGCUUUACAUUAGGUUCCAGACCUGAAAGCUUUACAUUAGGUUCCAGUCCUGAAAGCUUUACAUUAGGUUCAAGUCCUGAAAGCUUUACAUUAGGUUCAAGUCCUGAAAGCUUUACAUUAGGUUCAAGUCCUGAAAGCUUUACAUUAGGUUCAAGUCCUGAAAGCUUUACAUUAGGUUCCAGUCCUGAAAGCUUUACAUUAGGUUCCAGUCCUGAAAGCUUUACAUUAGGUUCCAGUCCUGAAAGCUUUACAUUAGGUUCCAGACCUGAAAGCUUUACAUUAGGUUCCAGUCCUGAAAGCUUUACAUUAGGUUCCAGACCUGAAAGCUUUACAUUAGGUUCCAGUCCUGAAAGCUUUACAUUAGGUUCCAGAGCUGAAAGCUUUACAUUAGGUUCCAGUCCUGAAAGCUUUACAUUAGGUUCCAGUCCUGAAAGCUUUACAUUAGG